AAUUGAUCCUUACAGCCAAAUUACAAACAAAGAUAGAUGCUUACAAAAAUAUAAGAUGCUGUGACUCCAACAUAGGGCUUUCAACCAAAAUAUGAGAUGACUUUGAAAUAUAUAGGAUGAACAAUACAAAGGUAGAAAUGCAAAAUUACAAACCAAAUAAGGCCUUUUGUGAAUCUUCACCUUCUGCUGUGGAUUUUGAGUGUUUCUAUUCUCAUUUUUCACCGUCUCCUAGUUUCUCUUCCUGUAACGAUCUUUUUUUGGCGUUGUCCACAAGGUCCUGAUAUCUCCCUUUGUAAGCCCUUGUCUCCUCCGUCUCUCUUGUAGGUUUGUUGUCACCAUUCGCAUUCCUUUUGAGAUUCUGAGUUGUACUAUUCUCACCCUUCUUGUUUCCCUUAUUGUUGUUCUCCUGAUUCCCAUCGUGAUCCUUGGCCUUGUCCAUCUCUGUAUGCUUGUUGUGACUCUUCACUAUCUCCUAUGUCUUUUGAGUGGUUCUAUUCCCGCACUUCACUUUCUGCUCCUUCCCCUUUUCACUAGGAUUUAGCUUUCCUUUAUAAUGAAUUUUGGCCGAUAUAUGGUGAACUAUCGUCCUAAGUAGAAACGAGAUAAAUGAGAUGUCAAAUAAGGUAAAAUAUUUAGACGAUGUGUCAUAUAAAAAUCAUCAAAUUUUUAGACAUACACGUUCCAAAAACUGGGUAGAUGCAGUCGUUCCAAAAACUGGGUGGGCAUGUGUUGAUAAACAAAUUUGGCACCUAGGGUAAUUUAGACAUACACGUGUUGACAGUAUAAUUUUUCUAGUUGAUUUGUUUGAUCAGCAAAAUCUGUUUGGCAAAUUGCUUAAGAAGCAGGUCCCGUCUGUGUCCAGUAAAGUUGCUUCAACAACAUGCAGAAGCCGCAUCAGAAAUGAUGAUCGUCAGCCGCAGCAAAUUUCGUCAGGCCAAACAUGUGUAUUUGUGCAGAGCAUUACAUGGUUGAAGGGGCAAAUCUAUGAUUAUGGAAGGAAAGAUCACGCAUGCAUGAAGGGACACGGAGCAGUUAGAAUUCAGAGUAUUUUGGUGUAUGCAUUCUACUAGUGUAAUAACUAGCAAGGCAUGACACUAUGCAUAUGUCGCAUGAUGCAAUAUGAGGAGCCUCUUGAUUUGGCUCGGUGCUCUGGGCAUGGUACUCGGCCGGGAGGAGUCCAUGUAUGAAGCGUGCACAGUAUGCAGUUUGAUAUGGAUCAUAUGACAUGGUGCUCAUGCAGAUGGAGAGCAGGAUUUCGUGCCUCUCGCUGGAGAACCAGACUGACGAGAGAGGAGUCCCUCACACUACCUUUGUUUCGUAUCCAUGAUAGGGGCCAUCUGGAUUAGAUACGAUGGUUGGUUUUUGUCCCCUAUAACAGGAUCGAAACGAAAGGACAGAGAGAGAUCAGAGACGGAGGGGACAUGAUCAGAGGAACGCCAUCGAUCAGCUGCUCCUCACCUUGCCGGCCGGACCUCCCGGGGCAGCAGCUUCUUCUUGUCCGGCGAGCUGCUCCUUUGGCCUCUCUCCUUCCUCGGUGGAGCUUGAUGGGUUGGUGUUUCCCGGCGCUGCUAUCCGUCAGGGGAUCGCAGCAGCCCAGCGGCGGCGUCUCGGUGUUGAGGCGCUAGCUAUCCGUCGAGGGAUUGCUGCAACCGGCGAUACGCUUCUGUCUCCUCCAGAUGCCGGCC
rnacentral:lncRNA from 1 species